GCCAGUGCUACCAUAGCCUUCCCACUUUCUUGUCUCCAGUUGAGGCCACGGCUGCCACUGGAGCUCCAGACCAGUCCUAUGCACCCUGACAGUAAGCUGUUCAUCAGCCUAAACCAGGUACGGAUGACCUGGGAGACCUCAGAUUGCCCCUGUCAAUGCAUCAUGCAACUGCUGGACAAGGAAUAGAUGCGCAUGGAUAGACAAAUUCUACAUAAUGGAGACACUGAGUUCAGAAGCCACCUAUAGCUGCUACUGCACGGCUCCACCCUCCUCACUCAAUCCCUGUAAGAACCCUCAGAGGAUGGAAAACCCAAGAAGCAGGCACCAAGCUCCUUAAGCUGUAGUCUGUGAUGGGUCUCCUGGAGGGUUCCCUUCACAGCGUGGACCUGAGGAAAAGUACAAGCUUACAUCCAUAAUGUGCUACAGGAACACACUGGAGGAGAGCACCAAGGCCCAACGGGAGAUGGGAGGAUUAAGGUGAUCAAAGACGGAGUGUGACACAUCACUGAGCAGCUGAAGAGCUAUGAGAACGUGUUGGCCAUCAUGGUGAUCCAGCCUGGGCUUCCAGCUGCUGCUGAGGGAUGCAGCUGCUGUUUCUACCACUAACCCAGCCUCCAGCCCUGAAAGCUGGGCUCAGGACACCACUGGUGGGAAAGGCAAGGAUCUCAGCAAAUAUGGCAGCAUAUAGAAGAGCUUCCUUCUCCAAGGCCUUGCAAAGCCUUCUAUGGAAAAGCUGCUGAAGAUGUGGAGAAUCAAGGGCAGAACACCCUGGUCCACAACCAUGCCAUGGGCCCUGGCCUAGCAGCAGACAUUGAUCUGAGGAUUUAUCUUCUCAGGCAGGCAGGAAGCCAGACAGGAAGCAUGAGGCCAUGACUGAUAGUGUCCUCAAGGGUGCUUCCUGGCUAGAGAACACAUGAUACAAGAUGGAGACCAAGCUUCCAGAACCUAACUUCCAAACAUAAACUCAAGCUACAGACUUUAAAAGAGGCCAACAUGACACGUGACAUCUCCACCUAUACCACUACAGUCACAAACCCCAACUCCUGUCACCAUUCCCUGAACCAGUGAGUUACCUUGGCACCUAAAAGUCCUCAGACCAAUCAGUGAGAACAGCUGUGAGAGCUCCCUCCUUGCUGUGGACCAUAAUUCUAUGGAUGCUAUGAAGGGGGCUGGAUGAAGGAGCUCAGAGUUAUAGCUGACAGGCUCUGCAUCACUAACUGCUGCUAUAGAAACAUCCUGGUGGAGUUUCACGACCUAGAAAUAUUCAGACAAAGUCAAUGGAGUCCCAUGUACAAAUGACCCCACAACUUGAUAGGCACAGGCCAUGGAAAAGUGUGCCUUCUACUGUAACCCCGCCUUCCCCAGGAAGACAAUCAAAUGACAAGAAGCAGUGAGUGCCUCGUAGGCAUGCUUCCUGAUGUGGUCUAUGAGGAUACCACACCU
rnacentral:lncRNA from 1 species